rnacentral:misc_RNA from 1 species
GAACUGCGAUACUUAGUGUGAAUUGCAGAAUUCAGUGAAUCAUCGAGACUUUGAACGCAAAUUGCGCCUUUGGGUCAUCCUAAAGGCACGCCUGUUUGAGUAUCAGUAACAUUAUCCAUCACUCUCUCUUCUUUCUCUUUUAAUCGAAUCGAGUCGAGUCGAGUCGAGAGAAAGAGGAGGGGUGGAUUUUGAGAGUCUCCCUUUUCUUUAUUUUAAAUAAAGAGGGAAGGGGGGUCUCUUCAAGUACAUUUGCUUUGAAUCCCCCAUACCUGUUUCUCUCCACCACUUUAUUCCGUAGGAUAAGUAUGAAAAAUUUUGUACUACUCGGAAUUUUUGGGAAAGAGAACACAGAGGGAAGGAGGAGAAGGAAAAAGGAAAAACAUUAACGACGACAACAACAACAAUAACAAUCUUGAUCUCAAAUCAGGUGAGGCUACCCGCUGAACUUAAGC